AGAUGAUGGUUGAUGUGUUUGCUA
rnacentral:siRNA from 1 species